UCCAAGGUGGCUCAAUGGUGGAGGAACCGGCUGGUAACCGGUAGGCUGUGGGUUCUAUCCCCACCCUUGGAGCCA
rnacentral:tRNA from 1 species